rnacentral:lncRNA from 1 species
AGGAGACGGAAAGCAGUGAACCUCUGUAAAAGCUUAGAGUCUCCUAAGCAAGGGCAGGGCACACACCGGGACAGAACAGCAAAUCGAUGACUUUAGUCGCUAAACUAAAGCUUCAUUCUCCUUAAGAAUGACUCUCCUCCAUCGCCACCCCUCACCCCACUUGAGGACUUAUCUGGAAUUUCAAAUGUUUGUUCCUGCAAAUGCAUCUUCCAUCCUGGGUGACAGGAAGUGUCUGGUUCCAUGACGAUGAAGCAGCCACAAGGCCUCUCUGUGUCAGUGCUGGAGAGAGAGAGCUUCCUUCCUCCUGUCCUGGACCCCUCCUGGAGGGACGCUCCCAAGGCUGAGAUGACACAGUCAUUUCCCGCAUGCUGUCUAGCACUGACCCACCCAUCGCCCUUGUCCUGGUGCUGGUCUGCAGCAGCAGUGAGGGGGACCCCUUUGUGUG